rnacentral:rRNA from 1 species
UACGUAGGGUGCGAGCGUUGUCCGGAAUUACUGGGCGUAAAGAGCUCGUAGGUGGUUUGUCGCGUUGUUCGUGAAAACUCACAGCUUAACUGUGGGCGUGCGGGCGAUACGGGCAGACUGGAGUACUGCAGGGGAGACUGGAAUUCCUGGUGUAGCGGUGGAAUGCGCAGAUAUCAGGAGGAACACCGGUGGCGAAGGCGGGUCUCUGGGCAGUAACUGACGCUGAGGGGCGAAAGCGUGGGGAGCGAACAGG